rnacentral:rRNA from 1 species
CCUACGGGUGGCAGCAGUAGGGAAUUUUCGGCAAUGGGGGGAACCCUGACCGAGCAACGCCGCGUGAACGAAGAAGUUAUUCGUAAUGUAAAGUUCUUUUAACAGGGAAGAAAGAGAAAUUUGACGGUACCUGAAGAAUAAGCUCCGGCUAACUACGUGCCAGCAGCCGCGGUAAUACGUAGGGAGCGAGCGUUAUCCGGAAUUAUUGGGCGUAAAGGGUGCGCAGGCGGAGGUGCAAGUCAGUGGUCAAAUUGCGGGGCUCAACCCCAUACUGCCGUUGAAACUGCAUCCCUUGAGUGCGCGAGAAGUAUGCGGAAUGCGUGGUGUAGCGGUGAAAUGCAUAGAUAUCACGCAGAACCCCGAUUGCGAAGGCAGCUUACUAAACUGUGACUGACAUUGAUGCUCGAAAGUGUGGGUAUCAAACAGGAUUAGAUACCCUUGUAGUC